rnacentral:rRNA from 1 species
UGGGGAAUAUUGCGCAAUGGGGGGAACCCUGACGCAGCUAUGCCGCGUGAAUGAAGAAGGCCUUCGGGUUGUAAAGUUCUUUCGGUAUUGAGGAAGGUUGAUGUGUUAAUAGCACAUCAAAUUGACGUUAAAUACAGAAGAAGCACCGGCUAACUCCGUGCCAGCAGCCGCGGUAAUACGGAGGGUGCGAGCGUUAAUCGGAAUAACUGGGCGUAAAGGGCACGCAGGCGGUUAUUUAAGUGAGGUGUGAAAGCCCUGGGCUUAACCUAGGAAUUGCAUUUCAGACUGGGUAACUAGAGUACUUUAGGGAGGGGUAGAAUUCCACGUGUAGCGGUGAAAUGCGUAGAGAUGUGGAGGAAUACCGAAGGCGAAGGCAGCCCCUUGGGAAUGUACUGACGCUCAUGUGCGAAAGCGUGGGGAGCAAACAGGAUUAGAUACCCUGGUAGUCCACGCUGUAAACGCUGUCGAUUUGGGGGUUGGGGUUUAACUCUGGCGCCCGUAGCUAACGUGAUAAAUCGACCGCCUGGGGAGUACGGCCGCAAGGUUA